AGUGAACGCUGGCGGCGUGCCUAAUACAUGCAAGUCGAACGAAGUGGCGCACGGGUGAGUAAUAUAUAGUUAAAAUGCCCUACAGAGAGGGACAACAGUUGGAAACGACUGCUAAUAACUCAAAGUGUAGGAUGAGACUAUAUCGUAUCAGCUAGUUGGUAAGGUAAUGGCUUACCAAGGCUAUGACCCGUAACUGGUCCGAGAGGAUGAUCAGGCGACUUCGAACUGAGGCACCGGCCAAACUCCUUCGGGAGGGCGCAGUAAGGAAUAUUGCGCAAUGGGGGAAAGCCUGACGCAGCAACGCCGCGUGGAGGAUGAUACUUUUCGGAGCGUAAACUCCUUUUAUCAGCAAAGCGGUACCUGAUGAAUAAGCACCGGCUAACUCCGUGCCAGCAGCCGCGGUAAUAC
rnacentral:rRNA from 1 species